ensembl:lncRNA
CAAAAUAAAUAGGUCUUGCCUGCUUGCAUAGAGUGACAGGUGCAUCACACAUCUAGUUAUAACUACCCUAAUAGACUAGACCUGGCUUAAGCCCCAUGUGGUGCGAGACAAGGCAACCGUGUUUGACAUCCACCUUGUAACUGCCUUUGUCCAGUUUAUUUUGUAUUAGCACUUUUACUAUUUGUUUUUCUUUCUAAAUUGAAUGUUAAUAGUAAGACGGAAUUAAUUAUUGGUCCCGCCCGGAGGUUUCCGGCCGGGCGCCUUUGAGCGACGCACUGAAGAAAACUUUACCGCGAAAGAGACUGAUUAUUCCGCUGUUGUCAUGUUUAAGUAAAUAAGUUGGCAGGAAAAUAUACAGAAGAUGAUUCAGGAGAUUUGAAAGGAUGUUUAGCACCUCUUUGUGAUAAGCAGCAAUGAGGUUUGUUGACAGCUUUAUUUUGCUGUAUAUGUUUCUGUUUACAUAUGUUUUUCAUGUGCCAUGUUUACUGAUGUAUAACAUAUAAAGUGGCUAGCCGUAUAUGGACUGGAUUGUAAACAAUAUAUGUGACAUGCAUAUAGCAUUAUUUUGUUAAUUUAAUUUUCUUUCUUCAAACAAGUUCUCAUGGGUUGACCAACAUUAAAGCCCUGUGUUCUAACCAAGACCUCUUGCUUCAUGCCUGUCACUGGGGGAGCUACACACCUGUCAAAUCCCGGGCCGUGUACAUUUUGCACCACCCUCUGUUGGAGCCCCAUGCACUGUCAAUACGCCUCAACCAGGAUUCGAUUGAAGCAAAGUUGCAGCUGCACUGCAAGCUGGAACGCUGCGGUACGUUACCGGCCGGUGGUGGCUGGUCCCCUUCAUGGGUGUGAGGACAUUGAGGGGGCCCUGGCGUACUCCGUCCGCUCCAUCAUCGACUCGAGGCGCCGGGUGGGGUGCCUCCAGUACCUCGUGGAGUGGGAGGGGUACGGCCCGGAGGAACGGAGCUGGGUUCCGGUGAGAGACAUCCUGGCUCUCGCCCUCCUGCGCGACUUCCAUCGCCCGGAUCGCCCUGCUCUGUGUUCCCCGGGUCGGCCCCAGGGCCGGUGUCGUUGGGGGGGUUGGUGCUGUAAUGACUGCGCCCUCUGCUGCCUCUCCUCCCCCUGCAGCAGGCAGGCUCCAGCGGUCGACGUCACCGGUCUUCUAACACCAUCGCCCGUCUCAUUCAUGCAUUUCCCCUGUUGUCUUGUUUAGCGCACCUGAUCCUCAUUCUAAUCAUUGCCCCCAGUAUAUAUGCUCCCUCUGCUUCCCGUGUCUUUGUGUUUUAUUGUCUCGCCUACCCAGAGCAUUAUCAGGCUACGCCACUAUUGUCACUAUUAAAACACAGUUCAACAGUACGACUUCGGAUUCCUGCUCCUCGUUCCUCCUCGAGCCUGACAUUCAGCAUUAUCCAACAACAUCUUGUUUUACCUGGGUUACUGGGGCCAAUAAUGACACAGCCGAAUGGGUGUUGAAGUUGCGGGUCAAAACCGCUAUCCAUCCUAGAAUGUGAUUUAGUACCCGUAAGGCCCUGUGCUGUAAUCAGGGAGCAGUACACACUUGUUGUACACAACUCUGAAAUGCUUAGACACUACUUGGUUUUUCAAUCUGAAUGUUGUUUUAUCUCUCACAAUUGUGUCUACAUUAGCAAGGACGUAAUCAUCAUCACCACCCUCGCCUCGUACAUAGUUAUCAACCAGUCGUGUUAGCGUCUCCAAAUUAACAAUGGUUGUGUUGUAGCUGUUGAGUGUAAUGUUUGCUUUGAGACAGGUCAGACCUUUAACAGUUUUGUAACCAUGUGUCUUUGGCCCACCACUAACAAAUUGAGCAAUGCUGUCACCAUCUGGCAACUAAACGGUCAAGUCACCCAAGAAUGGACCCAGUGGGGGGACCCAAUCCCCAUGGCGUGUGACAAAGAUCACUGAAUCAGUGUCUGUGUCUAUCCAACCUCUCCAAGAGUGAAUACAACUCAAGUCUAGCAUAAGCGGUUGUGAACGCGGCAAUAAAAAUGUUGCCGUUACGUGGUUUGAUUCGUGUCUGUUUUGUGUAAUGCCACUGUACCAUCGCAACGGUGUCUGAGAUAAAAGAGAAAUAACCAACUUCUAUUUCACUGGAAAAAAGGUAGUGGCUAAACCCCUCCGGAUCUGUAAUUAGCAUUCUGUUCAUAAGGUUAGACCAACCACCCAUCUUACCCCAAAGACUAUUCAUUACCAGUUUAGCCAAAGAUAGCCUAGUACUGUUUACAACAAUUUUUUCCCUGUCAAGCUGCACACCCUAAUUUUCAUGAUAUUCAGGGAUACAGAAAACCCCCAGCUAUCUGCGGUUCCAUAUUCCCGAACUCAAGUAUCCGCAGAAAUUCUAAAAACGCGCUAGUUUCAGCCAUCCAAGCGUCGAUCUGGUUAAUU